GACAGAGGUGCCGAGCGUUAGGCGGAAUCACUGGGCUUAAAGCGUGUGUAGGCGGAUCGUUAAGUACCUUGUGAAAUCCCCCGGCUCAACCGGGGAACUGCUGGGUAUACUGGCGAUCUUGAGCAAUCUAGGGGCAGAUGGAACAAGUGGUGGAGCGGUGAAAUGCGUAGAUAUCACUUGGAACGCCAAAGGUGAAGACAGUCUGCUGGGGAUUUGCUGACGCUGAGACACGAAAGCCAGGGGAGCAAACGGG
rnacentral:rRNA from 1 species